GGAGAGGUGCCCGGAGUGGCCGAUCGGGGACCGUGUGCACCGCAUUGGUCGGGCCUGACGGCCCACGCAGGUUCAAAUCCUGCCCUCUCCG
rnacentral:tRNA from 1 species